UACGGAGGGUGCGAGCGUUGUUCGGAAUCACUGGGCGUAAAGGGCGUGUAGGCGGUCCGCUAAGUCUGAUGUGAAAAGCCCGGGGCUCACCCCCCGGAAGGGCAUUGGAAACUGGCGGACUCGAGUCCCGGAGAGGAAGGUGGAAUUCCUGGUGUAGCGGUGAAAUGCGUAGAUAUCAGGAGGAAUACCGGUGGCGAAGGCGGGUCUCUGGGCCGAUACUGACGCUGAGGAGCGAAAGCGUGGGGAGCGAACAGG
rnacentral:rRNA from 1 species